GCCAUCUUCUCGGGUGAGUGUUCGGGCCCUCGGCGUUCGCGGUGCGCGUACCAUCCACUGACAUCUGAUGCCUACGCUUAACAUCAGUACCGCAAACUAACCGUAGCCUUUCGUUGUCUUUCCCCGUAGCGGCCUCCGCACCAUGAGAGCUAAGUGGAGGAAGAAGCGAAUGCGCAGGCUGAAGCGCAAAAGAAGAAAGAUGAGGCAGAGGUCCAAGUAAACUGCGAUCUGGUGCACCGUGGAGGCCGCAGGAGCAGAAGCAAAGAAUGGCCGAGGCCUGGGACACUGGUAGAAUCUACUAACACCGUGCUCUCCCGGAAUUCAUCUCGCUGGAUCUGGAACAUCUGGUCUCCGCCACCACCAUUGAGGGCGCUCCAAUUUAGUCCCCUUUCGGCCCUUUGCCCCGGACCUAACAUCCUGGACUAUUUCUGUUCUUGACUGGCUGAAUGUAACGUGUGCACAAUAAAUCUUGGCUGAAGAUAAAUAA